UUAAACCUCACCUGAUCUAAGGCUUUGUUUGUCUAAACAUAGACCUCUCGGGCCAUCUUUUCCUACCUUCUCAUGGAUACAUUAAUGAUCUAAAACCGGAAUCCCUGUCCCCUAUCUACCUCCCACCAGCAGGCUUCUGGGAAAACCAAGAAGCCCUUACCUAUAAUACUACAUUAAAAUACCAAGGACCAACUCUAAAUGAUCUCUGUUAUACAUAUUGGAGCGUUCCUGUGAUCUAGCAAAAAGCAGAAUGCAACCCUUCCUAGUCUACCAUGUGGUUGCUUGAUAUUGCUUGCGUUGGGGUAGGAGACUUGCAACUAAU